AAAAACCUGAUGUUACUUUGCUUCAAAAGAUAUUACAGUCCUACUUCUUAAAUAGACAUCAGACAUCUAAGAAUGCUUACAAACACAUAGCAAAAAGUGAUCCUCUCAAUAAAGGGUUCCUCCUCACAACAUAUUUCCUCAGCUUAGCCAUCUGAAACUGUUUUUCACAGCUGCCCAAUUUCACGCUGCACCAGUCUAACCAAGAGAGCAAUCCAAGAACGAGGAAAAGAAACCUUAACCAAACAGUUGUCAUUAUAAUCUGCCUUGCAUUUCACAUGUGGAAAUGUCCCUGAAUUGCAGUCACAAAGAGGAAAAUGAAGCCACUACAGAGGGAGACAGAAGGAAAUUAGGAUCUAUUCCCCACUGGAAUUCUUUCAAGUGGUUAUAAUCACCUGUGAGAGGACAGAAAAAGAGACCAACUCUAGACACACAAACAGUCCAAGGCAGAAAGAAACUGAAGGAUAUGCAGUAUUAUAUAUUUCAUGUUGUAUGGGAACUGCUGAGUCAUGGCCUGAACCACUGAUUGAGCACCUGGAGGAAAGACCCAGUCAGCCCUGGGAGCACAGGUGAAGGCAAUUCACUGUGUGACCAGAAGGGGUGGAGCCUGCCUCUUAGGCCUCAUUUAAGGGCUGACUGCCCCUGAGGAAGGAUCUCUGGUUGGAGGUCCCUGCUGUGUGGAAUUUUGCCCUGUGAGCCUACAUCUUCAGAGAUAGGCAGAUGAAGACAGCAGGGUGCCUGUCUUGUUGCAGCAAUACUUCACCAAGCGGGAGGAUUACCACAUGCUUCUGAAUGGGAAAGUCUAACUGCUACAAAUACGACUGUUCAGAGACAGCUUUGGCUAUGAAGCCCUCAAGCCAGAAAGGAGAUACAAUGGAGCAAUUUUACAGCUCCCUCACAAUACUUCAUGCACUUAUCUCAAGAAGGAUUUCAGACCAAGAAGGGUUUGGUUGGCGGUUCUUUUGUCAAGGGAAAGCUCGCUGGCCUUCCCUCUAAGCGCCAGCUAUCUCAGGAAGAUGACUGCCGUGCACAGGAAAAUAUUUUUAAAUGUGUAAUGUCCACUCAGUAUAUUUACUACCACGAGUGACUCCCUGAUACAAGAGGAGUGUAAGUACUCAAUUUAUGACUGAGUUUUAAUUGCAUUGAAUGCAUUGCUGCUUCUCAGCAUCAAGAACUGAUUUGUAUGUAUUGGAUGUUUAUAGAAAGCAACUGCUGCAGGUGUUUGCAGAACUUACAUGCAAAUAAAACAGUGAUUAGUUCCUGAAGUCAAUAUCAAUCUUGAAAUGAAAUAAAUCACUUAACAGGCUUUCCUUCUAAAAUAGGAUGUAGUCACACUGAACCCAGGACAUGGAAACAUACAAAGAACAGGUGCUUCUAGCACAAAGUACCUAAGCUCUCGAUAUUCAAAAGAAACUUCUCCCUGGGCAAGUUUCACCUUUUGCAAUAUGUUAGGCCAGUAGGACUACCACUUUGCUCCAAAACAAUGCUUCCUCUACAUGCUAUGACUACUCUGCUAUGACCACUCUUGGAUAUCUGACUGCCACCCAAGGCCAGACUCAAGUUGCCAUGCUGUACCUUCCUGCUGUCAGGACCACCGUUUGCACAGGCUAAGGUCUUCUUGCUUAGGAGGAAAGAUUAAAAAAAUAAUUUAAAAAGUGCUUUUCAAGGACCAUGCCGGCCUGGUACCCAGCAGGCCGAAGCAGGGACUGUGCUGUGCCACCAUCUAGUGGGGAAUUUCAGAAGUGCUGCUGUCUUCGAUCAGUGCGCUUCCAUCUCAGCCAGAUUUCUUCUGUAAGGUUUUGCAGCAUGAAAACAGAAAAGAACAGGGUGACCUUAGCAUCUCGCUCAGGAAAGGCUCAUGAGAAUUACUCCAUCACACAUAACAUGUUUUCUUUAUUUGUCUAUUACUCAUUUCCCUAAUUACCUUGAAUUGAUUAGAGCAUCAAGCUUGCACUGGCUAGGCAAAUUGCUCAUUAAUUUCUACAGCGACGUAUUUACACAUUACUGUGGCUAUUUUAUCACUACAAUUUAACCUUGCACCAAG